rnacentral:rRNA from 1 species
GGACCCGCACAAGUAGUGGAGCAUGUGGUUUAAUUCGAAGAUACGCGCAGAACCUUACCAACACUUGACAUGUUCGUCGCGACUUUAAGAGAUUAAAGUUUUCGGUUCGGCCGGACGAAACACAGGUGCUGCAUGGCUGUCGUCAGCUCGUGUCGUGAGAUGUUGGUUAAGUCCCGCAACGAGCGCAACCCUCACUUUUAGUUGCCAUCAUUUAGUUGGGAACUCUGAAAGAACUGCCAGUGAUAAGCUGGAGGAAGGUGGGGAUGACGUCAAGUCCUCAUGGCCCUUACGUGUUGGGCUACACACGUGCUACAAUGGCAUUUACAAUAGGAAGCAAGACGGCGACGUCAAGCA